ACAUAAUGCAAGCUGUCACAAGAAAGCCUCACUGGACAAUGUAGAUCAUAAUGUCUUAUGGUCAGAAGCUCCUGGACCAGCCACCAGUGUUCGAAUAUUAAAAGGGGCUCUGCUUGCUGGGAUGUGCUUCCGUUGUAAAUAGCUGACCACCUUUUUGCUUCUCAUCCAUCAUCAAGUCAUCGGCCACACCCAUUCUUGCUUUGUAGUUCAUACAGCACUCCUUUUCUCAGACUGACUAAAUCCUCCGUGGCAGACAAGUCUGAGCUGCUGUUUGCAGCAAUGUGGGGUUGACUGACGCAUGCUGCCUUGACCGGACUCUCCCACACCAAGAGGGGAACAUGAUAGAAAAGCCAGGGAAGUAUUCCUUCCACCAGCUGAUCUUCCAAAUCCAGAAGAUUCUGGUUAAUUGGCCCAUCGGUUAAUCAGGGCAACGGCUUAUGUGGGAGAACUCUUGAAGAACAAAAACUAAUUGAGAAAAUAGCCAGUAUUAUUUAUUUGGGACACUAUGCAGCUUAAUUGGGACGGGAGACAGUGGUCAAACAGUUUCUAACUAACGUGAGUCAUGUGAAUUUGUGCGGCCGUUAGACACUACACAGUGCUUAGAGCAAACAGUUGUAAAAUAGCAUCAGUUGCACAGGUUUGUGUUCAAAAAGCUGUAAUUUUUGUCACUGUUAGUUGUUGAUAAAUGAGCAACAAGACAAUUCAGAACUGGUUUGCUCACUGCGUUUUCAAGCAUUGAGGCUUGGAGAUGCCAGAAACGACAGAGUGAAAAUGAACCAAUUUCAUUGCUUAAACAAGUUAAGAGCUAUGAUGAAUUUAAAGAUAUCCUCAAUCACCUAGACUAUUACAAUGAAAAUGAAGAUUUGUAGGAUUCAAUCAUUGAAGACAGUCCAUUAUCUGCACCAGGUGCCUGUGCUGAUUUUGGUCAUUUACGGUCCAUCAUAAGAACACAGCAGCAUGUGGUGGAUAGAUUCCUUCGUUGAUAAUCUUUAGGAACUAAUACACAGUUUUAUAGUACUGUACUUGUAUUGGUAAUAUUCUAAUUUUUUCUGUAUUUCAUUAAAAUACACAUUUUGUUAUAACUUGUCCUUUGUAUGCCUUUUAACUAUUCUCACAAAACUUUGGCUAAUUCGGGCAGCUGCUCAAUUGGGUGAAAAUGUACUGGUCCCAAUGUGUCCCGAUCAUCUGGAAUGCACUGUACUCACUCAAACUUCACCUGUCAGCUGUGCAUAUUAGGGAGUAGUGGACAUUUUCACUGUGAUUUCCUGAUGGGUGCCGCUGGCAGGUGAAGCUUUGUGCUGGCACACUGAAUUCAGCAAAUUGCAAUUUUGAAGAACACCUGCAGUAAAACAUCCUGUAACCCAGUGAGAAUAAAUAAACAUACAGCAAUCUGCUCGAUUCCGGCAGAACUUUGUUCCCCGUCAUCUUGAAAAUUGAACUUGGCCCCCAUAGAAGGCACCCUUAACUUACCCUAAUUUGCCUUAAACAUUACUCUCCCUUAUAAAUAUUUCAAGUAAAAAUGAAACAUUUUGAAGUUUAUUUGAAUCGAGAAAUAAAUUUUGAACUGAUGCUAUUUUGUGGGGUUUUUUUUGCAAUUUUGCUACAGCUUGCCAGAUAUAAAUACCAUAUUUGUUAUACUAAUGUAAGUUCUCAUUGCCAAUUAAAAGAAAUAUCUACCCCCAAUAGUUUCCCCUUUACACUCAAACCUGGAGGCUAUCCAGCAAACACACCAUGCCACAAAGAUCUUGCCUGGGCAGGGCAAAUGAAAGGAUUAUAUUCAAUGGGUGUUAGUUUCGUUCUGGUUAAAUUGCUAAG